rnacentral:lncRNA from 1 species
UUUAAAACAAGAGAUAGAUCGGCACUGAAAGUAGAUGACAGCUUAAUGAGAGUGGGAGAUAAAGCUUGUACGUUUUCUGUAAUUCUCAUUCGCGUGUGCACGUCGCUGAGAGACCCAAGCGCAGAUCCACCGUCAAACGUGUCUUCCUUGCCCACUGGAGACUUUAUCAUAAAAAUAGAAUGUAAUUUAUAGGCUAUAAAGAAGCAGCCACAUCCUCAACAGCCAGUUGGUGAAAAUGAAAGCCAGGAUAGCCUGGGGUGAUCUUGGACACCACACCAUGGGCAUCCACUGAUGGCUGCUUGCGAAUAAUAAUUCACCUGUCAUUUACAAGAAAGGGCUGGAGACAACUUUGAAAAGAUUUAGCUCUCUGCCUGGAUGGCUUAAUGUUUUAACAUCCACUUUUAUUCCUAAAAAUGAACCAUUUUUACUAUAAUGUAAUCCAACUGUCAAUACUCCAAUAGUUAUGAUCACUUUACUCUUGCAUCUCCUUAAUGACAACUCAUAGUCUCGCUGCAAAAUCAGAUUGAAGCUCGUCUGCCCUCUGAGUAGUCUGUUAUGUGGCUUGUAAGCUGAGUAGACAUAGACAGCUGCUUCACCAUGGACAGAAACUUCAUCCAGCUACUCCUAAAAUUCCUCCCCUGGGGAACAAAGCAACAUCUACACCUCUUCAGAUUCCCAAGGACCAACUGAGGCACGAUUCCACUGAAGUUCAUUCAGGGAACCAGGGACUUCAUUGGGCUUCCUUACAGAGCAUACAUGAGAGGGUACUUACACAGAUUUUUCAUCCUGAAAACAUAAAAUAUCUUCAGAAGCAAUAAGAAAAUUUCAUAAAGCUAUCUGUAAUUCACAUCUCAAUUCUAAGCACCCAGCUGAAAGAAAGCUGAAGAGAUGACUCAGUGGUCCUGCUAGAGGGAAGAAACUUUAAAACAUGCCAAAGCACCCUGCAUAAUGGAUGCAUCUUCUGAUUGGAUUGUAAUUAAAAUAAGAUUUUUCCCCCAGUAAUAACAUAGUUACCUGCACUGGCAGAAGGGAGAUGGCAGACGUAAUGGAUAGUUGAUGAACAGUUUGAAUGUUGCCAUAAUCUAUACAUCCCAUUAUGAUUCCUGUUUCAGUAAAAGAAGAAAUUAUAAGAACCCACUGCCCCCCUGCACCACCACAACUAUAGUUGGACUGGACAGGACAUGAACACAAGAAAUGAGGGCUGACAGAGGCGGGGAGCUCUGGAGAUUGAAGGCAUAAAAUUGAAAAGUGCAGGUUUUGUAGACUGAACAUCAAUUUGCUCACCUCCAAGAAGGACAAAAAUCAUCAUUCAUAGCUCGGGUCAGAGCCACCUAGCUUCAAGUUAACAGGGGAGCAGCUUUCUGACCAGAUGCAUACAGUCAUUUUCUGAGAGCUGAGAAGUCUGCUGGUGUGGUUGGUCAUGACAACUGUCUUGACUAUCACAUGGAGGGACGAAGGAGGGCCAUAAGUCUCACUGGAAGAUCAGAGCCUUACCAAGAUCUUUUUGGUGGGUGUGCUUUCCUUAGCAUUAUAUAAGAUAAAAACAAGUGACUGGAGUGGAACUCUUUGGCACUGAUGCUGACAAGGGACUCCAGUGGAAAAUCUUUUCACAGAUUAUAAAGGCUACAGGGGGAGAUCAGCAUCUCCUGAUGAAGAGAAACUCAACAUUUUCAAGUUCUAAGGACAUCCGGGUGGCUUCCGCAAACUAAAAUGUAUACAUGAAGACAUCUAAUAAAGCUUUGACUCUGAAGCCCAGGGUAGAAGUUUCAUUUCACCACCAGAGAUUAGAUAAUGUCAUUGAGUUCCAUGGGAGACAGUAGAAAGUUCGCAGUGAAGUGUCUCAUGCCUACCUUGAGAAUCAUCUUCUUACCUUCCAGAAAGCAUUAUACGCUAGAAAUCCAUGACUGACAAGGACCUUGGACAGCGCAAAUGUACCCUUCACCUCCACUGCACCUACCUGAAAAGAUCCUUGAAAAACAAUGAAAAAGGAUCCUGUGGACCCUUGGGCCCCUUA